GUCCAGUUCACACCAGGGCUGGGCCGGGGCUUGUGUGAUGCAAUGCCCAGUCAACGCUUCCUCUGUGCCAUGGCUCCCCAGCCUCUAGGUGCACACACAGGGCCUGUGUUGUGGUGUCUCCUCCUAGCCACACUGGUCUCUGGGGAUCCUUCCUGCAGGAGGUGUCCAGUAUCCCCCCAGGACCAUUGCUGUAGGAAUACCAGACUCUGCACAUGCAAAGGACAGUCCUUGGACAUAUGGCUCAACUCAUCAAGCACCCGCUUCGACCUUUGCAAGUGCAAUGCCUCAAUAUGCUGUAUGGCCUACACCUUCUCAAAGAAGAUUCCACUGAACUACACCAAUGACUUCCAAGGACAGGCAAUUAUGAAGCAAGGGACAUUCCAUGCUCCAGAAGUCAGCAAAGGGGACGACGGUUCCUACAGGUUCUUCAAUAUAGAUCACAACACCUGUUUGCUGAAGGUUGACAUUGAACUGUCAAGAGCUGCAGCCUGGCCUUUGUGCACUAUGCUACUGCUGUUGCUGGGCUUGGUGACUUCAAUUGUUCUCUGAUGGGAGAUGGAAGGGACCUUGUGCCACCUUGAAUGGCAACUGAGUGGUGCAGGCAGGGCUGGGAUGGCUCUGUAGCUUGUUUCCAACCUCAUAGCCAACCUUUGAAAAGUGUUAUCACCAGAAAUGCUGAGUACAUCUUCCUUUGACAGACAUCUCCCCUGUGGAUCUAUCUGUGACAGUCUGAACUAUUGUUUUGGAACAUUUCUGCAUUUAAUAUGUGUGUGCUGUGAGUGGAAGGGAUUUACAACAUCGUCUGCUUGAAUUAUGGUGCUGAAUUAAUCAGUUCUGUGCUGCUGAGGGUCUCUCGGUUGUCUCG